rnacentral:lncRNA from 1 species
GCGUGAGUUAACUCAUGUUGGGGGUAUUUUCGGUAGCUUAUGUGGGAAUGAGCAAUUUUGAUUUGGAGAAGAGCAAUUUUAUGAAAGUAUUUAUAUACUUAUUAAAGUUUCAUUCGAAAGUUGUACCUUUUUUUUUUUUAUUGAGGGAAUUCGAAAGUUGUACCUAUCUACCUUAUUUCCACGACAGACAGUAUCAUGUAAGAUCAGUAGAGCGUUUUAAUUGCUCCUAUAGAUAAUAAUUUUAACUUGUCAUCAG